rnacentral:rRNA from 1 species
CCUACGGGAGGCAGCAGUGGGGAAUAUUGGACAAUGGGCGAAAGCCUGAUCCAGCCAUGCCGCGUGUGUGAAGAAGGCCUUCGGGUUGUAAAGCACUUUCAGUGGGGAAGAAAGCCUUGGGGCUAAUACCCUCGAGGAAGGACAUCACCCACAGAAGAAGCACCGGCUAACUCCGUGCCAGCAGCCGCGGUAAUACGGAGGGUGCGAGCGUUAAUCGGAAUUACUGGGCGUAAAGCGCGCGUAGGCGGUCUGAUAAGCCGGUUGUGAAAGCCCCGGGCUCAACCUGGGAACGGCAUCCGGAACUGUCAGGCUAGAGUGCAGGAGAGGAAGGUAGAAUUCCCGGUGUAGCGGUGAAAUGCGUAGAGAUCGGGAGGAAUACCAGUGGCGAAGGCGGCCUUCUGGACUGACACUGACGCUGAGGUGCGAAAGCGUGGGUAGCAAACAGGAUUAGAUACCCGAGUAGUCC